AGAGUUUGAUCCUGGCUCAGAACGAACGCUGGCGGCAUGCCUAACACAUGCAAGUCGAACGCAUGGUUUCGGUUCGCCGGGGCCAUGAGUGGCGCACGGGUGAGUAGCGCGUGGGAACCUGCCCUCUUGUGGGGGAUAACCGAGGGAAACUUCGGCUAAUACCGCAUAAGCCGGCUGUCUCGAGAGGGGUGGCCGGGAAAGAUUUAUCGCGAGAGGAGGGGCCCGCGUCCGAUUAGCUAGUUGGUGGGGUAACGGCCUACCAAGGCAGCGAUCGGUAGCUGGUCUGAGAGGAUGAUCAGCCACACUGGGACUGAGACACGGCCCAGACUCCUACGGGAGGCAGCAGUGGGGAAUAUUGGACAAUGGGGGCAACCCUGAUCCAGCAAUGCCGCGUGAGUGAUGAAGGCCUUCGGGUUGUAAAGCUCUUUCGCCCGCGACGAUGAUGACGGUAGCGGGAGAAGAAGCCCCGGCUAACUUCGUGCCAGCAGCCGCGGUAAUACGAAGGGGGCGAGCGUUGUUCGGAUUUACUGGGCGUAAAAGGGCGCGUAGGCGGCCAUUCGAGUCGAGUGUGAAAGCCCCGGGCUCAACCUGGGAACGGCGCUCGAGACUGGGUGGCUGGAGUUCGGGAGAGGAGCGUGGAAUUCCCAGUGUAGAGGUGAAAUUCGUAGAUAUUGGGAAGAACACCGGUGGCGAAGGCGGCGCUCUGGACCGAGACUGACGCUGAGGCGCGAAAGCGUGGGGAGCAAACAGGAUUAGAUACCCCUGUAGUCC
rnacentral:rRNA from 1 species